GGUACUGUAAACUGAAAAGUAGCAGUAACGAGAGGCUGUUUGUAUGACUGGACUGUGGUGAAAAUGGAAGUACAAUAAUUACAGAAACAAAUGGAGGCAGAUAAGGCAUUCAUGGAUGCUGCUCUGAGAUAGCUCUUCUGGUCUGAUUGAUUCAACUGGCGUACGUAGAAUACAGGAACAGUCCUUGAGAACAGAAACAAGUGAAUGUCUGUGAAGUUGCUGCAAUUUAUUAAACAUGGCAGUGGGAAAACAUUAAAAAGUAGCCCCUAUAAGCAGGAGCUCAGAAAGUCUGCUACAAGUCAGUCAAGCAAGAGGUGAUGAAACAGCAUAAAACACAUACAUGGAAGAAGAAGAGAUACUAAACAGUUUCCUUCACCAAAAUUGAUACAACAAAGUUUAAACAUCUCAGCGUUGUGGAAAUCCCUUCAACCAAGAUAUUUCACCUGAACUUUUCAUAUUAAGCUAUAACUGGGUAACAAGGUACAACAGCCAAAAUUUUUAAAGAGAAACUUACCAAACAAGACAUGGAACCGCUUUAGGUCAGGGGAAAAGUCAUAUACAUCCAUUUAUCCUAGAAAAAAUAAGGUAGCAAUGUAAGAUAAUACAUAAACCAGUGAUAAACAUAAAUUUCCUUAAUCACAACUGUGAGGCAUUCCUCUAAGUUAACACCCACACAAACCCCAGAACUCCAGCUCUUGGAAAGCCUGCUUCUAUUGGGCCUUUAAGCAGCAUAUCAAUUUCAAACUCCUCACUGAGGACUACACAUGUCAACUCAAGCUUUCCCUUUCAAUUUAUGGGUUUAGAAAUCUUAUUGCCACUUUUGAACAAACAAUUGAAUUGCAAGUUAACUGCACAAGUGCAGAAAGUAAAAAAGAAUGGAUUCAUUAAUCCCUGUCAGUUUGUAGGAAAAGGAAUCAAUCUUGUUUCAAAGGCGCACAGCUGUGCUAGUCAGAUCUCAGCUGUGUGCAGCUGAACUAGCUCACAAAAAAAGCAAGGCAGAAGCUAUUGCACUUUACAUUUCACAAGCAAGAGAGGAAAUACUAUUGUAAGGGAUUUCAGUUAAAAAAAAAAAAAGGAGGGGAAGCAACUCCAAUAAUUUUCACUUUACUUAGGCAAACUCCCUCACAGAUUUCAGUAGCCACUCUGAAAGUCCUCCAGCUGACUUAUUUUAUGUCUGAUGCUUUGAAAGCUUAGGCAGUGAGAGAGAUGUCUAACAAGUGUAUCAAAGCUAAUUUACUUUAGCUAUAAGCAAGUCUUCAACAGUAAAAUCACUGAAGUUGGAAAAGACCUCAAAGAUCACAGAGUCCAACCAGUAACCCAGUAAUGCCAGGCCCACCACUAAACCAUGUCCCCAAGUACCCCAUCUACAUGGUUUUUGAACACUACUAGGGACAAUGACUCUACCACUUCCCUGGGCAGCUUGUUCCAAUGCUUGACAAUCCUUUCAGUGAAGA